UACGAAGGGUGCAAGCGUUACUCGGAAUUACUGGGCGUAAAGCGUGCGUAGGCGGUUUGUUAAGUCUGUCGUGAAAUCCCUGGGCUCAACCUGGGAAUUGCGAUGGAUACUGGCAAGCUAGAGUACGGUAGAGGAUGGUGGAAUUCCCGGUGUAGCGGUGAAAUGCGUAGAGAUCGGGAGGAACACCCGUGGCGAAGGCGGCCAUCUGGACCAGUCCUGACGCUGAGGCACGAAAGCGUGGGGAGCAAACGGG
rnacentral:rRNA from 1 species